UACGGAGGGUGCGAGCGUUAUUCGGAAUUACUGGGCGUAAAGCGCGUGUAGGCGGCAGGGCAAGUCUGGUGUGAAAGCCCGGGGCUCAACCCCGGAAGUGCAUUGGAAACUGCUCUGCUUGAGUACCGGAGAGGAAGGGGGAAUUCCCGGUGUAGCGGUGAAAUGCGUAGAUAUCGGGAGGAAUACCAGCGGCGAAGGCGGUUCUCUGGUUGACUUCUGACGCUGAGGCACGAAAGCUAGGGGAGCAAACAGG
rnacentral:rRNA from 1 species